rnacentral:rRNA from 1 species
UUCGCUCCGCCGGCCCCCGGGGGGCGUACGGGAGGCAGCACUGGGGAAUUUUGGGCAACAGCAGCAAGCAAUAUUCAGCAAUGGCGAAAGCGAAGAGAGCAAUCGGGUGUAAGUCAAGGCUACAGGCCUACCGCCUUCAAAAGAGCGGCCC